AGUGGGCUAACUGGGUCAAAUGGUGGUUCCAUUCCAAGUUUUCUGAGGAAUCUCCAUACUGCUUUCCAGAGUGGUUGCCCCAUUUUGCAGUCCCACCAGCAAU
rnacentral:pre_miRNA from 1 species